AAUUAUUUCGGUGCGCGUGAGGGAUGGAAGCGGCAUCCUUUAUUUUCUUUUUUAAGAAAAUAAAGAUACAGCGAACAGCCCGACCCGAA
rnacentral:sRNA from 1 species